rnacentral:rRNA from 1 species
UAAUACGGAGGGUGCGAGCGUUAAUCGGAAUUACUGGGCGUAAAGGGUGCGUAGGUUGUUUGAUAAGUUGUCUGUGAAAUACCUGGGCUUAACCUAGGCAGGUCAGAUGAUACUGUUAGACUAGAGUAUGGGAGAGGGUAGUGGAAUUUCCGGUGUAGCGGUGAAAUGCGUAGAGAUCGGAAGGAACACCAGUGGCGAAGGCGGCUACCUGGCCUAAUACUGACACUGAGGCACGAAAGCGUGGGGAGCAAACAGG